rnacentral:rRNA from 1 species
UACGUAGGGGGCAAGCGUUGUCCGGAUUUAUUGAGCGUAAAGAGCUCGUAGGUGGUUCGGUAAGUCGGAUGUGAAAUCUCCAGGCUCAACCUGGAGGGGUCAUUCGAUACUGCCGUGACUAGAGGUCGGUAGGGGAGUGUGGAAUUCCUGGUGGAGCGGUGAAAUGCGCAGAUAUCAGGAGGAACACCCGUAGCGAAGGCGGCACUCUGGGCCGAUACUGACACUGAGGAGCGAAAGCGUGGGGAGCGAACAGG